GGAUUUGAAAGAGAAGGAGAAAAGAGAAAACAGAGGAGAAACACCUAUUCGGAGAGAGAGAGCACUGCCAUCCAGAACGGAACCCAGAGUUGUCCAUGGCUCAUGCUGAAUUUCAACACAAAAUAAUUGAGUAACAAAUUGAGGUUCAAAGAAGCAAAGUGACUGUUCCAAAGCAGCACAGAUCAUGGUAGAGUUGGGGACCAGUGAGGUACAGCACCUAUCAUGGCAGUUGGAAUCAGAAGAUACCUCAAUAAAACUGUAUUGAUAGAAAGAAAGGUUGACCAAGUGAACGAAAGAAUGUCCUUUAGUUCCUUUUUCCAGUCCCCAGUUGCCCCUCUGCCUGAGGGUGGCUGAGGAACAGGAUAGCUGUCACUGAGAGCUGACCAUAGGGCCCGA